rnacentral:rRNA from 1 species
AUUGAACGCUGGCGGAAUGCUUUACACAUGCAAGUCGAACGAUGAACCUUAGCUUGCUAAGGGGAUUAGUGGCGAACGGGUGAGUAAUAUAUCGGAACGUGCCUUGUAAUGGGGGAUAACUAGUCGAAAGAUUAGCUAAUACCGCAUACGCCCUGAGGGGGAAAGUAGGGGAUCUUCGGACCUUACGUUAUAAGAGCGGCCGAUAUCUGAUUAGCCAGUUGGUGGGGUAAUGGCCUACCAAGGCGACGAUCAGUAGCUGGUCUGAGAGGAGGACCAGCCACACUGGAACUGAGACACGGUCCAGACUCCUACGGGAGGCAGCAGUGGGGAAUUUUGGACAAUGGGCGCAAGCCUGAUCCAGCCAUACCGCGUGGGUGAAGAAGGCCUUCGGGUUGUAAAGCCCUUUGGCAGGGAAAGAAAAGCAGCAGCCUAAUACACGGCGGUGCUGACGGUACCUAAAUAAGAAGCACCGGCUAACUACGUG